rnacentral:rRNA from 1 species
UACGUAGGGCGCAAGCGUUUGUCCGGAAUUAUUGGGCGUAAAGGGCUCGUAGGCGGUUUGUCGCGUCGGGAGUGAAAACACCGGGCUUAACUCGGUGCUUGCUUUCGAUACGGGCAGACUAGAGGCAUGCAGGGGAGAACGGAAUUCCUGGUGUAGCGGUGAAAUGCGCAGAUAUCAGGAGGAACACCGGUGGCGAAGGCGGUUCUCUGGGCAUGUCCUGACGCUGAGGAGCGAAAGUGUGGGGAGCGAACAGG